AAGAUGUUAAUACAUGCAUAUGAUGAGAUGACCUCCCGAUUGAUGAGAUGAUGAGAUCAGUCGUUCGAAGCCUGAUCUUCAACUUUCUUUUAGUUUUUGUUUCUACUUGAUAUCAUGAUUCUGGAGUUUAAACUGAUCAGGAACAGUAGAUGUUGGCAGAAAAUAAAAAUUGGCAGAUCUAGAUAUAUAAUUGGAUCAAACCUGCAUCUUCUCCCUCCCGUGGAAUGUACUGAGGGUAAUCAUAUCUAGUUGACAGGCAAUUCUGCAUCCAUGGUUGGUUAGUGUGAAAACUAUCGUGAGAAGUUUGGGCAUCGAUCACCGAAAGAAAGUCGUCUCCGACGAUCGGAGAAUCUUCUGAAUAUUUGACUCUUGGUUGCAUUACACUGUUCCUCUCGUUUUCGCAUUGCGCUGUGGACUUUCUAUGCAAUCUCGUGAGCUCAUGAUCAGCCACACAGCUAACGUACGUAAUUUCUAGUAGUCGAAGAACCAGAACGCUAUAGCUGAGGAAAGGUUCCAGACUCUAUUAUGACUGGUUGACGAAUCAGCAAACAAGUAGAAGAAAAAAAACCGUUUGGAAAAUGGAAGGGAGCAAAAAAAAAAAAAAAA
rnacentral:lncRNA from 1 species